CAGCCGCCACGGGAAUACGUAGGGUGCGAGCGUUAAUCGGAAUUACUGGGCGUAAAGCGUGCGCAGUCGGUUAUAUAAGACAGAUGUGAAAUCCCCGGGCUCAACCUGGGACCUGCAUUUGUGACUGUAUAGCUAGAGUACGGUAGAGGGGGAUGGAAUUCCGCGUGUAGCAGUGGAAUGCGUAGAUAUGCGGAGGAACACCGAUGGCGAAGGCAAUCCCCUGGACCUGUACUGACGCUCAUGCACGAAAGCGUGGGGAGCAAACAGGAUUAGAUACCCCCGUAGUCCCUGUCUCUUAUAC
rnacentral:rRNA from 1 species